UACGAAGGGGGCUAGCGUUGCUCGGAAUCACUGGGCGUAAAGGGUGCGUAGGCGGGUCUUUAAGUCAGGGGUGAAAUCCUGGAGCUCAACUCCAGAACUGCCUUUGAUACUGAAGAUCUUGAGUUCGGGAGAGGUGAAUGGAACUGCGAGUGUAGAGGUGAAAUUCGUAGAUAUUCGCAAGAACACCAGUGGCGAAGGCGGGUCUCUGGACAGUUCCUGACGCUGAGGCACGAAGGUCAGGGGAGCAAACGGG
rnacentral:rRNA from 1 species